CAACUGCAAAUCAAGGAGGUCAAAGGUAACGAGUCCCCAUGCCAUGCCGAUCAGUGACGCACCAAGAAGCCACUCCAGGAGCUUGGUCAUUGUGCUGAAGACUGUGCAAAGUUCAGUGUCUUGUGGGUGCCGCGGGUGACAUCCGCCCAUUCAGCGCAGAGAACAGAAGCGAGUCCAUGACCCAUCACACCUCCUCACCAGCCAAAAAGAACUUGCCUUGACCAGAUAUGAGCCAGGCUCCACUGAGCAUGCCCAAUAGUGCCGACCCUGUGUUAUGGCCACGUCACCCACAAGCAGAUCCGCGGUCAGGUGACAGGAAGUAAGGGCCCGAUCAGCGGCCUGCAGC